rnacentral:rRNA from 1 species
CUACGGGCUGCUGCAGUGGGGAAUAUUGCACAAUGAGCGAAAGCUUGAUGCAGCCAUACCGCGUGUGUGAAGAAGGCCCGAGGGUUGUAAAGCACUUUCAAUUGUGAGGAAGGUUCAGUAGUUAAUACCUGCUGUUCUUGACGUUAACUUUAGAAGAAGCACCGGCUAACUCUGUGCCAGCAGCCGCGGUAAUACAGAGGGUGCAAGCGUUAUUCGGAAUUACUGGGCGUAAAGCGCGCGUAGGCGGACUAUUAAGUCAGUUGUGAAAGCCCUGGGCUCAACCUGGGAACUGCAUCUGAUACUGGUAGUCUAGAGUUUAAGAGAGGGAAGUGGAAUUCCAGGUGUAGCAGUGAAAUGCGUAGAUAUCUGGAGGAACAUCAGUGGCGAAGGCGACUUCCUGGCUUAAAACUGACGCUGAGGUGCGAAAGCGUGGGUAGCGAACGGGAUUAGAUACCCCGGUAGUC